rnacentral:lncRNA from 13 species
AUGGAGCAGGAGGAGUGGGAAGCCUCGGGAAGUCCCCGAGGGCUGUGCCAAGGGGGACACGGCCGAGAUCCACAGGUACCCCAAGGGCACGGAAAGAGAUCCCAAGGGCAUGGAAAGAGAUCCCAAGGGCUGAGCCGGGGGCACACCCGUGGAUACAAGGAUCUGUCCCGAUGGUUGGACCUAAUCAGCCAAGAGAUGUCCCAAAUGGAGGAAUUCAUCAACCAAGAGGUGUCCCAGGGGAAAGCCAGGAGAGACCCGAACUGUGCCAGGGGCAAGGCGACGGAGACGAGGAUCUGUCCCGAUGGGAAGAAUUCAUCAGCCAAGAGCGGUGCCAAGGGGAAGCCAGCGGAUCCCAAGAGUUGUGCCAAGGGGAAUCCGAUGGCUCCCAAGAGCGGUGCCAAGGGGAAGCCAGCGGAUCCCAAGAGCGGUGCCCAAGGGGAAGCUGAUGGCUCCCAAGAGCGGUGCCAAGGGGAAUCCAGCGGAUACAAAGACCUGUCCCAGUGGGAAGACUUCAUCAGCCACGAGAUGUCCCAUUGGGAACACCACACGGACCAAGGGAAAGCCGAGAUAUCCCCGAAGCAGCGCCAAUGGGAAGUUGAAAGAGAUCCAGAGCUGUGCCAGGGGGAAGGCAAUGGAUACAAAAGUGUGUCCCAAUGGGAAGCCUUCAUCAAGCAGGAGAUGUCCCAAAUGGAGGAAUUUAUCAACCAUGAGAUGUCCCAAAGCAAAGAUUUCAUGGAUCAGGACAUGUCCCACACGGAAAACUUCAUCGAGCAAGAGCCGUGCCAAGGAAAAGCCAAGAGACACCAAGAACGGUGCCAAGGGAAUGCCAACGGAUACAAAAGUAUGUCCCAAUGGGAAGCCUUCAUCCGCCCAGAGAUGUCCCACAUGGAAGAAUCCAUCCGCCCAGAGAUGUCCCACAUGGAAGAAUCCAUCCACCCAGAGAUACCCCACAUGGAAGAAUCCAUCCAUCAAGAGAUGUCCCACCUGGAAGAAUCCAUCCGCCCAGAGAUAUCCCAGUGGGAAGACUUUACCAACCAAGAUCUGUGCCAAGGCAAAGCCAAGAGACACCAAGAACGGUGCAAAGGGAAAGCCAAGGGAUACAAAAAUUGGUCCCAAUGGGAAGACUUCAUCCGCCUAGAGAUGCCCCACAUGGAAGAAUCCAUCAGCCAAGAGAUGUCCCAGAUGGAAGAAUCCAUCAGCCAAGAGAUGUCCCAGAUGGAAGAAUCCAUCAGCCAAGAGAUGUCCCACAUGGAAGAAUCCAUCCACCCAGAGAUGCCCCACAUGGAAGAAUCCAUCCACCCAGAGAUGCCCCACAUGGAAGAAUCCAUCC